AUGUGCUUCCCAUAUGAACAGUGAGAUUAGUUACUCAGCUUCAUAUUCGCAUUGGAAUAAAACUUAUCAGAGUAUCAUUGUUAAGAAAUAGACCUUUUUACCAUCCUUUAUGUAUAUUAAAGAGUCUUCUAUUCAUUAAAGCAAUAGACAUAAGCAGUGGGAUUGUUCUGAAAGAAACAACAUUAAUCAAAUACUCGUGAGAGCAUUUGUACAGCUACCUUGAAUUCCAAACCAGAAAUAGUGAGAUGAUGACAACGAUGACGAUGAUAAUAAUGAUGAUGAUGAUAUCAUGAAAAUCAGGAUACACACUGGUGGAAUGGCAUCCUUAGAUACAGGCCACCGGAGGAUCCUUCAGAUGACCGAAGGAGAGGAGGAGCCAUGCAGCAGCUACCAGCAUCCUGAAUACAUUCUCUUCCCCCCUCUAUUACAAAGUAACCCUUUUAAAUAAAUGUACACUUAUCUGUGUUAUCCUUAUAUUUGAUUCUUUGUGUCCUCUUUGCCUCCUGUGUCUUUCUCUCUCCUUUUUGCCUCUUGCAGCUGGCUCCGGUAACCGCUCACACCCCCCCAGCACUAAGAGCGGGGUUUCCUCUCCUUUUCUACCCAAAAUCUGAACUUCCCUUACCUCAACUAACCCUGAGUUAACCCUCACCCUCGUGGGUACCCCGGCUUCCACCACUGGGAUGCCCCAGUAUCCACAGACCCCCUUUUGUGUGUAGUAUGUGUACUAUUUUAUGUUUUAUAAACUUUUGGAGAUAUGAAGCCUCUGAAUCAAGAUUCUGGUAACCUUUCACGAACACCCCUUGACCCUGGGAAUUCCCUCCAGUGUUUUUCCUGGGCAUCACAUCAACAAUGGACUCAAGAACCCUUCAUCAUGGAAAUCAAUCCAUCUCUAUUGAUUCCCAUAAGACCAACUGUACAUGGGACUACAGGAUCCGCAUGCCUGGCCUGCGGACAGAAAAGGAACAUUAAUCAUCCGGCACUCCUCCAGUACGACAGGAGGUCCUGCCCCGUUUCUCCACAAUGACAUUUUGCCUUUCCCAGGAAUGGAUUCCAUAAUUCACUCACCUUGGACAAUAUACUGAUAUGGAACACAAUGGACACUAGCACCAGAAGCAUUAGACUCAUUCACUGAGGACUCAUGGCACAAUUAUACUGACAAUAAAAUCCAUGGGACCAAAUGCCCCCUCUUUGUUCAUCCCAAAGUUGGUAAAUGGUAAUCCAUCUGUAUGUGUUGUUUUGUCCCACUGGUCAUCCUGCCCCCUGUCAGCCAUUGGAGAUCAGAAAUCUGCAUCUGAAGCAGGGACCGCUCUCUGAUUGGCUGGCAGGCACUUCAGUCCCGCCUCAGAGAGGGAAUCCUCCUAGCUGGUGUGAUGUCAGAGACUGACUCUGCCAAUAAGCAUGGAGCUGGCCCCAGCUGGGCAUGGGUGGGAAAAACAAAAGACCUUACUGUAUAAAAUGUCUGCUUUAUUAUUGUCAAACAUGUUGGCUUCAUUUUGUGGCUUACCACGAGCUGUCAUCCUUUUCAGCUAGAUUGAAUAAAAUUACCUUGGUGGCUUCUUCUUAAACUGGUGAGAUUUCUUGAUUGGGGAACAUUGGGUUAUAGCUUCUUGUUUUCACCAGGCAUGGAUUCACAGGUAACCUGCUGCCGGUACUUGUUAUCUGCUUACCAGAUCUAAGUAUCCACACAUUGGGUUUCACUAUCUGCGAUCCAGAUCUCACUAUCUGUGACCUCUUCAAAUUGUUCGAUUUCAGUGGGAAUGAAAUGUCUCCACCAGUGUCAAGAAUUUCCAGAAUAUAAUCCAGGAUAAUAGAAAUGUGAUUUGAA